AUACGUAGGUGGCAAGCGUUGUCCGGAAUUACUGGGUGUAAAGGGAGCGUAGGCGGGAAGACAAGUUGAAUGUUUAAACUAUCGGCUUAACCGGUAGUCGCGUUCAAAACUGUUUUUCUUGAGUGAAGUAGAGGUAGGCGGAAUUCCUAGUGUAGCGGUGAAAUGCGUAGAUAUUAGGAGGAACACCAGUGGCGAAGGCGGCCUACUGGGCUUUAACUGACGCUGAGGCUCGAAAGCGUGGGUAGC
rnacentral:rRNA from 1 species